rnacentral:rRNA from 11 species
ACUGAUAAGGAAAUUACUCCGAAGGCACCAAGUCCUAUGUGAUUCUGGAAGGUAUAUGGAGUCAGCCAUAGUUAGUACUUGGAUGGGAGACUACCAACAAAUACCAAGUUCUUCAGGC